ACUUCUCCCUUUUCUCCGGUCCCCCACCUCUUCCGAUCUUCGACAAGCCCCCCACUUGCUCCCUUUUCUCUGACACCGUCCUCCCCACCUGACCCCACCCUGAUUCAACCCCCCCCACAAAUUCGAUUGUAGAUCGGUCCAUUCCCCACCUCUGGCCCAUCUCGGAUGAAUCCUUCACCGCUUAGGCACCACCUCGAUCGGAUAUGCCACCUCUGGCCCCACCUCAAUUGGUUCCCCCAUGUCCGGCCCAUCCCGAUCGGAUCCACCACCUUCAGCCCCACUCCGCCUCCGGCCCCACGUCGAUUGUUAAACAAUCGAACGCAAUUGUGGUGGCGAUACUGAUGACCACUUCACUGGAGAAAGCUAUUACACAGCUCUGUGUUUGCUUUAAGCGCGCUCCGAACCGAACGAGCUUCGCCGCAAAUGGAUUUUUGUCCUACACUUCAAGCGAGGCUAUCAAGCUCGAGGCGGUCUUAAACAACGGGUAGUCGUUGAGGCAUAUUCUCAAAAGACCUAUAUCUACAGCUGUGGCAAUAGGGGCGUGGUUUAGCGUAUCACAGCUGCCUUAACUGUAGGAAUCCCAACAUUAGGAAUUAGGUUAAGGGUGGGGAAGCUGGGCUUGUUCUUGAGCUUCUUAAAUUUUCUGAUGGCUUUUUUUUAAUAAAAAAUUCUUUGGAUAUAA